AUUUUCCACCAGCUUUUAACAACCCACCUCCUUUUCCCCUUCCCUCCCACACAAUAACUGGGAUGACUUGUCUAGAUCUUAGGCAACAAUUCUCUUAGCACAUCAGCUCCUGGAAACAAAUGCACUUAACCAGAAAAAUAGGGACAUCAACCAGCAAAGAUGCAUCCUCAUUUAAUAGAGCUUGAAAUUACUAUAAUCUGUAAAGUACAGCGAGAAGAAGAAGUUUCACCUGCCUGCACAUCUGUCGUUGACUCUCCAUCUGACUUGGAGGGACUCUGAGGGACCAACCUGAGCCUGAGAAGAGGCAAGAUUCCCCUUCAAGGACACACUGGGAACUUACGGACCUCUUUCUCCAUGGUGCAGAGCGCACAGGUGAACGAACAGACUCAUAAUAGUUCUUGAGCUUGCCAUUGGGAAGUGAAAAUCGACUGCUUGAAUAAAUGUAAGGACUCAGGUAGACAUCACCUCGUGACUCAACAGCAGCCAAUAAGAUGGAAAUAAAGGCCAUGAAGUUAUCGGAUGGCAUCUACAAGGAAUACUUAGAUGAGGAGCUAACCUGAAACAGGCGUGAUGGUUACUUCCAGCCACUGUUGUGGACCAAGGGAAGGCAGAGCUCUGCCUAGUGUCAGGGAGGGAGAAUGUCUGAAGCAGCCUGAUCCCUGAUGUCCUUUAGGCUGUCAUACCGGACCUGUGCAGCAUCCAUCCAGACUUCUACCAUAUUAGAACCAAAUACACUUUUAUCUUAUUUAAACCACUCUUUGUUUUAAAUCUGUCUAUUAAUAGGAAGCCAAACUAAUCCUAUCUGAUGCAAGAAAGAGAAUAGAAUUCUAAGAAACCCAUCUUCAUUGGCCAAUAAUUUUCACUUAGCA
rnacentral:lncRNA from 1 species